GUGCAGUGCAGGUAAAUGCAUGAGGGAAGCCUCUGGAGCCUGAAAGUGGGCCAUUAUGGCACUUCCGGUAUUGUCAGAAGGCCUAUUUUUCGGCCUCCCAAGGCUGCAGAGGCUUCCCUUGAGCCUCCAGGAGGGGGAAAAACGGCCUCAAAUGGGCCAAAAAUCAUCUGGGAGGCACGCGCAUGCACAGAGCAGGUAAGUUUGCCUGGGGCUCGCGUGCUCCCAAAAAUGGCUCUGCGUUUCACCU